GAUGAACGCUGGCGGCGUGCCUAAUACAUGCAAGUCGAGCGAACGGACGAGAAGCUUGCUUUUCUGAUGUUAGCGGCGGACGGGUGAGUAACACGUGGAUAACCUACCUAUAAGACUGGGAUAACUUCGGGAAACCGGAGCUAAUACCGGAUAAUAUUUUGAACCGCAUGGUUCAAAAGUGAAAGACGGUCUUGCUGUCACUUAUAGAUGGAUCCGCGCUGCAUUAGCUAGUUGGUAAGGUAACGGCUUACCAAGGCAACGAUGCAUAGCCGACCUGAGAGGGUGAUCGGCCACACUGGAACGGAGACAGGGACCAGACUCCUACGGGAGGGAGCAGUAGGGAAUCUUCCGCAAUGGGCGAAAGCCUGACGGAGCAACGCCGCGUGAGAGAUGAAGGUCUUCGGAUCGUAAAACUCUGUUAUUAGGGAAGAACAGAUGUGUAAGGAACUGUGCACAUCUUGACGGUACCUAAUCAGAAAGCCACGGCUAACUACGUG
rnacentral:rRNA from 1 species